GCAUAUCAAUAAGCGGAGGAAAAGAAACCAACAGGGAUUGCCUUAGUAACGGCGAGUGAAGCGGCAAGAGCUCAAAUUUGAAAUCUGGCCUCUUUGGGGUCCGAGUUGUAAUUUGUAGAGGAUGUUUCGGGUACCGCCUCGGUUUAAAUUUCUUGGAACAGAAUGUCAAAGAGGGUGAGAAUCCCGUCUUGGACCGGUGGUAGGGCCCGUGUGAAACUCCUUCGACGAGUCGAGUUGUUUGGGAAUGCAGCUCAAAAUGGGUGGUAAAUUUCAUCUAAAGCUAAAUAUUGGCCAGAGACCGAUAGCGCACAAGUAGAGUGAUCGAAAGAUGAAAAGCACUUUGAAAAGAGAGUUAAACAGUAUGUGAAAUUGUUGAAAGGGAAGCGCUUGCAACCAGACUUGUGCGCGGUGGUUCCCCUAUCCUUUUGGAUGGGUUACUCCGCCGCGUCCAGGCCAACAUCGGUUCUGGGGGUCGGUCAAAGGCCUUGGGAAUGUAUCUACCCUCCGGGCGUAGACUUAUAGCCCUUGGUGUCAUGCGACCUCCCGGGACCGAGGAACGCGCUUCGGCUCGGAUGUUGGCGUAAUGGUUGUCAGCGACCCGUCUUGAAACACGGACCAAGGAGUCUAACAUCUAUGCGAGUGUUUGGGUGUCAAACCCGGAACGCGGAAUGAAAGUGAACGGAGGUAGGAAGCUUCGGCUGCACUAUCGACCGAUCCUGAUGUCUUCGGAUGGAUUUGAGUAAGAGCAUAGCUGUUGGGACCCGAAAGAUGGUGAACUAUGCCUGAAUAGGGUGAAGCCAGAGGAAACUCUGGUGGAGGCUCGCAGCGGUUCUGACGUGCAAAUCGAUCGUCAAAUUUGGGUAUAGGGGCGAAAGACUAAUCGAACCAUCUGGUAGCUGGUUCCUGCCGAA
rnacentral:rRNA from 1 species